UACGUAGGGGGCUAGCGUUGUCCGGAAUCAUUGGGCGUAAAGGGGGUGUAGGCGGUCCGGUAAGUCCGCUGUGAAAGUCGGGGGCUCAACCCUCGGAUGCCGGUGGAUACUGUCGGGCUUGAGUACGGAAGAGGCGAGUGGAAUUCCUGGUGUAGCGGUGAAAUGCGCAGAUAUCAGGAGGAACACCAAUUGCGAAGGCAGCUCGCUGGGACGUUACUGACGCUGAGACGCGAAAGCGUGGGGAGCAAACAGG
rnacentral:rRNA from 1 species